GGUUGAAAAAGUUAGUGGUGAAAUCCCAGAGCUUAACUCUGGAACUGCCAUUAAAACUUUUCAGCUAGAGUAUGAUAGAGGAAAGCAGAAUUUCUAGUGUAGAGGUGAAAUUCGUAGAUAUUAGAAAGAAUACCAAUUGCGAAGGCAGCUUUCUGGAUCAUUACUGACACUGAGGAACGAAAGCAUGGGUAGCGAAGAGGAUUAGAUACCCUCGUAGUCCAUGCCGUAAACGAUGUGUGUUAGACGUUGGAAAUUUAUUUUCAGUGUCGCAGCGAAAGCGAUAAACACACCGCCUGGGGAGUACGACCGCAAGGUUAAAACUCAAAUGAAUUGACGGGGACCCGCACAAGUAGUGGAGCAUGUGGUUUAAUUCGAAGAUACGCGCAGAACCUUACCAACACUUGACAUGUUCGUCGCGACUCUAAGAGAUUAGAGUUUUCGGUUCGGCCGGACGAAACACAGGUGCUGCAUGGCUGUCGUCAGCUCGUGUCGUGAGAUGUUGGGUUAAGUCCCGCAACGAGCGCAACCCUCACUUUUAGUUGCCAUCAUUUAGUUGGGCACUCUGAAAGAACUGCCAGUGAUAAGCUGGAGGAAGGUGGGGAUGACGUCAAGUCCUCAUGGCCCUUACGUGUUGGGCUACACACGUGCUACAAUGGUAUCUACAACAGGAAGCAAGACUGCGAGGUCAAGCAAAUCCUUAAAAGAUACCUCAGUUCGGAUUGCACUCUG
rnacentral:rRNA from 1 species